rnacentral:rRNA from 1 species
GAUCCUGCCAGUAGUCAUAUGCUUGUCUCAAAGAUUAAGCCAUGCAUGUCUCAGUACAAGCCAAAUUAAGGUGAAACCGCGAAAGGCUCAUUAAAUCAGUUAUGGUUCCUUAGAUCGUACCCACAUUUACUUGGAUAACUGUGGUAAUUCUAGAGCUAAUACAUGCAAACAGAGCUCCAACCGGAGACGGAAGGAGUGCUUUUAUUAGAUCAAAACCAAUCGGCGGCAGUAGCGUUUCGGCGUUAUUGUUCGUCGCACUGUUUGGUGAUUCUGAAUAACUUUAUGCUGAUCGCACGGUCUCGCACCGGCGACGCAUCUUUCAAAUGUCUGCCUUAUCAACUGUCGAUGGUAGGUUCUGCGCCUACCAUGGUUGUAACGGGUAACGGGGAAUCAGGGUUCGAUUCCGGAGAGGGAGCCUGAGAAACGGCUACCACAUCCAAGGAAGGCAGCAGGCGCGCAAAUUACCCACUCCCGGCACGGGGAGGUAGUGACGAAAAAUAACGAUACGGGACUCAUCCGAGGCCCCGUAAUCGGAAUGAGUACACUUUAAAUCCUUUAACGAUUAACAAUUUGAGGGAAAGUCUGGUGCCAGCAGCCGCGGUAAUACCAGCUCAAAUAGCGUAUAU